rnacentral:rRNA from 1 species
GAUGAACGCUGGCGGCGUGCCUAAUACAUGCAAGUCGAGCGAACAGACGAGGAGCUUGCUCCUCUGACGUUAGCGGCGGACGGGUGAGUAACACGUGGAUAACCUACCUAUAAGACUUGGAUAACUUCGGGAAACCGGAGCUAAUACCGGAUAAUAUAUUGAACCGCAUGGUUCAAUAGUGAAAGACGGUUUUGCUGUCACUUCUAGAUGGAUCCGCGCCGCAUUAGCUAGUUGGUAAGGUAACGGCUUACCAAGGCAACGAUGCGUAGCCGACCUGAGAGGGUGAUCGGCCACACUGGAACUGAGACACGGUCCAGACUCCUACGGGAGGCAGCAGUAGGGAAUCUUCCGCAAUGGGCGAAAGCCUGACGGAGCAACGCCGCGUGAGUGAUGAAGGUCUUCGGAUCGUAAAACUCUGUUAUUAGGGAAGAACAAAUGUGUAAGUAACUAUGCACGUCUUGACGGUACCUAAUCAGAAAGCCGCGGCUAACUACGUG